UUAGUACUCCCUCCGAUCCAUAUUAAUUGUCUCAAAUUUGCCCAAAUAUGGAUGUAUCUAUGUCUAAAAAGCGUCUAGAUACAUGUAAUAUUUCGACAAUUAAUAUGGAUCGGAGGAAGUACUUA
rnacentral:pre_miRNA from 1 species